rnacentral:tRNA from 1 species
UCCUUGAUGGUCCAGUGACUAAGACUCUGCACUUCUAAGGCAGGGGCUUGGGUUCGAUCUCUGGUCAGGGAA